UACAGAGGGGGCAAGCGUUAUUCGGAAUUAUUGGGCGUAAAGGGCGCGUAGGCGGCCUGGCAAGUGGAUGGUGAAAUCCCUCGGCUUAACCGAGGAACUGCCAUCCAGACUGCUUGGCUUGAGACCGGGAGAGGUGAGUGGAAUUCCCAGUGUAGCGGUGAAAUGCGUAGAUAUUGGGAAGAACACCGGUGGCGAAGGCGGCGACCUGGUUCAUUACUGACGCUGAGGCGCGAAAGCGUGGGGAGCAAACAGG
rnacentral:rRNA from 1 species